UCCCUGGUGGCUCAGAUGGUAAAGCAUCUGCCUACAAUGCAGGAAGCCUGGAUUCAAUCCCUGGGUUGGGAA
rnacentral:tRNA from 1 species